rnacentral:rRNA from 1 species
UACAGAGGUCUCAAGCGUUGUUCGGAUUCAUUGGGCGUAAAGGGUGUGUAGGUGGCGCGCUAAGUCGGGUGUGAAAUUUCGGAGCUUAACUCCGAAACUGCAUUCGAUACUGGAAGGCUUGAAUCCGGGAGAGGGAUGCGGAAUUCCAGGUGUAGCGGUGAAAUGCGUAGAUAUCUGGAGGAACACCGGUGGCGAAGGCGGCAUCCUGGACCGACACUGACGCUGAGGCGCGAAAGCUAGGGUAGCAAACGGG